rnacentral:lncRNA from 1 species
CUAGGAGAUAACAUGGAGGAGGGGGGGAACCUAGGAGAUAACAUGGAGGAGGGGGGGGAACCUAGGAGAUAACAUGGAGGAGGGGGGAACCUAGGAGAUAACAUGGAGGAGGGGGGAACCUAGGAGAUAACAUGGAGAGGGAUGGGGGGAUAAAGUGCAUAUGUCAUACACAUUUUUGGCAAAGCUUUCAUGUACAGUACAAAUGUUUGUGUAUGCGAGGGAGAGAGAGUGUGUGUGUGUGUGUGUGUGUGUGUGUGUGUGUGUGUGUGUGUGUGUGUGUGUGUGCGUGAGCGUGUGCGCGUGCGCGUGCGCGUGCGUGUGUGUGUUUUAGGGGGGUAACUCUUUGAAGGACUCGUUCUGUUUUAUUAAAGGGGAGGUUUCAGAUACCUGUUAUCACCAUUCUAAAGACUACUUCCUGUCAAUAUAUUAAAGGGGAGGUUUCAGAGACCUACAUCCUGUCAAUAUAUUAAAGGGGAGGUUUCAGAGACCUGUUAUCACCAUUCUAAAGACUACUUCCUGUCAAUAUAUUAAAGGGGAGGUUUCAGAGACCUACAUCCUGUCAAUAUAUUAAAGGGGAGGUUUCAGAGACCUGUUAUCACCAUUCUAAAGACUACUUCCUGUCAAUAUAUUAAAGGGGAGGUUUCAGAGACCUACAUCCUGUCAAUAUAUUAAAGGGGAGGUUUCAUUAUAAUACCACCAAAUAAAUCGGGCCUUGAAUUUCCUCAACUGUGCAUUGUAUGUUUGAAUAUUUGCACCCACCAGACGUAACACUAUUAAAAUGUAGCUUGGAGACAUACAGUCUGUGUGUUACCGAUCUAUAUUAACCUCCCACCCCAUCUAGGAUGUUAUAUUUCUAUGGUUCAGAGUAGGAUCCCAGAUCAGCUAUCCUACUGUAUCACUCAUAAUGAAUCAGACUGGGUACCUGAUCCCAGAUCUGAGACUACGCCACCUGGUUCCCAGUAACACCGUGUAAAGGCUGGUUCUCUGAGACUCAUAAUGAAUACACCACCUGGUUCCCAGUAACACCGUGUAAAGGCUGGUUCUCUGAGACUCGUAAUGAAUACACCACCUGGUUCCCAGUAACACCGUGUAAAGGCUGGUUCUCUGAGACUCAUAAUGAAUACACCACCUGGUUCCCAGUAACACCAUGUAAAGGCUGGUUCUCUGAGACUCAUAAUGAAUACACCGCCUGGUUCCCAGUAACACCAUGUAAAGGCUGGUUCUCUGAGACUCAUAAUGAAUACACCGCCUGGUUCCCAGUAACACCGUGUAAAGGCUGGUUCUCUGAGACUCAUAAUGAAUACACCGCCUGGUAUCCAGUAACACCAUGUAAAGGCUGGUUCUCUGAGACUCAUAAUGAAUACACCACCUGGUUCAUUCUCCUGAGUGAUCGGAUUAUUAUCAAUUAAAAGCUCCC